rnacentral:rRNA from 1 species
CCUUUAUGGAGAGUUUGAUCCUGGCUCAGGACGAACGCUGGCGGCGUGCCUAAUACAUGCAAGUCGAGCGGAGUUUAUCCUUCGGGGUAAGCUUAGCGGCGGACGGGUGAGUAACACGUAGGCAACCUGCCCCAUGAACUGGGAUAACUACCGGAAACGGUAGCUAAUACCGGAUAAUUCCUCUUUUCGCCUGAAGAGAGGAUGAAA